GAAAUAAUUAUGUCAGAAAUAGUGAUGCCAGAGGAAGGUUAAAUGAGAAACUGUCUCACAUUUAACUAAUUCAGUGCCUGCAUCCUAGAUAUGUACAAGAGAUAAAAGAUAUUUAAUAAAUAGCACUUUCUUUAUUUCCCAUUCAGCACCUGAGUUCAACUAGGACUGAAAAGAACAUCUUGUCAGUAAUAGAAUUGGAUCCAACACGCAGAAUGUAGACAAAAGGUAACAUAUACUGGACCUUAGAAUGGCCGGGCUAAAAUAUAAGAACAAGGAGUAGUCAAAUUCAAGCCCAGGUCAAGGAGUACAGAGAUCAGGAUAAACGAGAAUGCUAAAGCCGGGUCAAAGAAGUAUAGAAUGAAGAGUAUUCAAAAACAGAGCCGAAGUAAAAAGCUAGAAUAAAAAAUACAGAUAAAGCACUAUAGGGGACAAACAUGAACCACAACGGGGCAAUGUGGCUCGUUAGGAUGGUAGCCAUGCCCCCAAAACAUUCAAAUCCGAACGUUUCGGCGGGAUGUGACAUCAUUAGCGUCAUGACGUCGACGCACCCUUGCCCUGCGUGAAAACCGCUGGAGAAAGAAGAGGGAUGCUGGAGAGGACCUACUUCCUCAUGUAAGAGGUGAAUACCAUGGGGGACAUCCCUGGCCACCACAGAAGGGUCCCUGACACAUUUGCUCUCAGCCAACCAUAAUAUUGAAUGUCAUUGUCUUCGGUGUACUCCGAACUGAAAACCUGCCAUACUUCAGCUGCUCUCAUCACCUGCAGCCAGCCAUGACAAAGACACAUGAUCAUCUCCUGUCUGUAUCUAAAGCAGAUUUAGCUACAGCCUGACUACAACCCCUACUCCUAUCACUACCAACCUGAGAGAAGAUGGUAUGGUCCCCGGUAAUUCCAUUGCACCUUGCUUCUGUUAAAAGAUAACUUUUAUUCAUCCCUUGUGUGGUUAACUUAAAUUCACCCAUUCUAAUAGAUACAGUGUUUGGCCAUGUCAUGCAGGGAGCUGUCCUGUGCUCAGUAAAUGUUCAAUGAUCAUAUACACCUUAGACCAGUGAUGGCGAACCUAUGGCACGCGUGCCACAGGUGGCACGCCGGGCCCUCUCUGUGGGCACGCGGCCAUAGGUUUGCCAUCACUGCAGAGUAGGCGCCUGCCUGCCCGAAACGGCAGGCGCCUACUCUGCUUCCGUGUCGGCAGGACCGGAAGCAGGGAGGAAGGAUCGAGGAAACAGCUCUCCUGUCCUCCCGCGAGCUGUGUGG